UUAAGAGCUUAUGGUGGAUGCCUUGGCACAGAAAGAUUAAGAAGGACGCAAUAGGCUGCGAUAAGCCUCGGGAAGUUGCCAAUAAACGUUAUACCCGGGGAUUUCCGAAUGGGGAAACCCAAUCCGAGUCAUGUCGGAUUAUCUGACGGCUAAUUAAUAACCGUAUGAAAAUAACGCAGAGAAGUGAAACCUCUCAGUAUCUGCAGGAAAAGAAAACAAGCUCGCGAAAGCGAGUAAUAUUCCCCAAGUAGUGGCGAGCGAAACGGGAAUAGCCUAAACCAUUAAUGUGUAAGAGUGAUCCAAAUUAGGAUUCGCGUUGCGAUGAAUGAAGAGGUGAUCUCGUAGAUUGCUGUUCGUGCAUUAUUGGUGUUGUAAGGAUUGUGUGAUUGGGCAGCAAGCCAAUCGAGAAGUUAUAAAGUGUAUAUCUAGCAGAACAUAUCUGGAAAGAUAGGCCAUAGAACAUGAAAGCUGUGUACGCGAAAGAUAUAUAUCUUCUUAACAAUUUCUUAAGUACCACGGGACACGAGAAACCCUGUGGGAAUCUGCCAGAACCAUCUGGUAAGGCUAAAUACUUUUUGUGACCGAUAGUGGACUAGUUCCGUGAGGGAAAGGUGAAAAGUACCCCUGAUAGGGGAGUGAAAUAGCAACUGAAACCAUAAGCUUACAAGCAGUCAGAGCCUCGCUAUAUGCGUGGUAAUGGCGUGCCUAUUGAAGAAUGACCCAGCGAGUUAGUUGUGUGCGGCAAGGUUAAUCCUGCUAAGCAGGAGAAGCCGAAGCGAAAGCGAGUCCAAAUAGGGCAAUUUAAGUCGCAUGCACUAGACCCGAAACCAAGUGAUCUAACCUCGUCCAGGAUGAAGUCUCACGAAAGUGUGAUGGAGGUCCGAACUAUUUAAUGUUGCAAAAUUAUGAGAUGAGGCGUGGUUAGAGGUAAUAUGCCAAUCGAACUUGGUGAUAGCUGGUUCUCCCCGAAAUAGCUUUUGGGCUAGCGUCGUAUUUUAAUCCUCGGAGGUAGAGCACUGAUUGAACCUUGGGCUCGAAAGGGUACCAAAUUCUCUCAAACUCCGAAUGCCGAGGUGUACAAUACGGCAGUCAGAACUAGAGGGCUAAGCUUCUAUGUUCAAGAGGAAAACAGUCCAGAUCGUCGGAUAAGGACCCUAAAUUCUACCUAAGUGGGAAAGAUAGUGGAGCUUCUCAGACAGCUAGGAGGUUGGCUCAGAGGCAGCCAUCCUUUAAAAAGUGCGUAAAAGCUUACUAGUCAAGAGACUCCGCGUCAAAAAUGUAACGGGGCUCAAGGUAGAUUCCGAAGCCGCGAAUUCAUUCCGCUAGCUUAAUGUUAGUGAGAUAUGUGAAUCGCUUUGCGUAAAUACAUAGUAAUACUGUGUAAGGAGUUUAGUUUUUAGGAAAUUGUAAAGUUAAUUCACUAUUUCGUUGAUGUUAAGUUGGCGGAAUGAGUGGUAGGGGAGCGUUCUGCACGAGUCUCGUAAGGGAUCGUAGCUGUGAAGUUCGGCCGUAAGGCACGGAUGGAGCGUGCAGAAGUGCGAAUGCUGGGACGAGUAGCGUAAAGUGGGUGAAAACCCCGCUCGCCGUAUGUUUGAGGGUUCCAUGGCUAUGUCAGUCAUCCAUGGGUUAGUCGAUCCUAAGUUGAGGCCGAAAGGCGUAGGCGACGGAUUACAGGUUAAUAUUCCUGUACUACUAGAUAAUAUGAUGGAGCACGGGAAGUGAACGGGCAGGCCCCCUAAUGGUAUGGGGGUUGAAGUAGUUAGCUAGUUUUCUUUGGUAAAUCCGGGAAAACGUCCCUCCGCUUUUAGAUCAAGUUAGUUUGGUUUAGAAGUGGAGGGGCACGCGAGCUACGAUAUGGAGGUGACCCUUGUGGAAACCAACCUGUCUUGUUUAUUACUCCAGGAAAAUCUUCUAAACUCUUCGCAAGAAGAGAAGUUAUCUGGUAAUCGUACCGCAAACCGACACUGGUAAACUGGUGUAAAUGCACCAAGGCGAACGAGUGAUGCGUGGUUCAGGAAUUCGGCAAAUUGACCCCGUAACUUCGGGAUAAGGGGGGCCAUACAUUAUGGAUUUAUUUCUUGUAAUGAUUAUGGCCGCAGAGAAUAGGAGAGAACGACUAGUUAACAAAACUACAGGUGCUUGCAAAUUCGUAAGAAGAUGUAUAAGUGCUGACGCCUGCCCAAUGCCAGAAGGUUAAGGAAGUUCGUCAUCAUGCUUUCCUGGGAGCUUGCUCUCAGGGAUGCGGAGAAGCGGAUGCCCGAAGCCCUGGUGAAUGGCGGCUGUAACUAUAACGGUCCUAAGGUAGCUUAAUACCUCGCCACUUAAUUAGUGGCUUGCAUGAAAGGCGUAACGAUUCUCUCGCUGUCUUGAUCACGCGCUCGGCGAAACUGAAAUGGCUGUGAAGAUGCGGCCUACCCGUACGAGGACAAAAAGACCCCGUGGAGCUUUACUGCAGCUUUGCAUUGGAAUAAGGUUCUGGAUGAAUAGAAUAGGUGGGAGACUUGGAACUCGGCUCGUUAGGGCUGGGGGAGUCGACAGUGUAAUACCACUCUUUUGGCACUUUGUUUCUAAAUUUUCCUGUUACCCAGGUGAAUAACAGUGCACGGCAGGCAGUUUGACUGGGGCGGUUGCUUGCGAAAGAGUAACGCAAGCGCACAAAGGUCUCCUCAAUCCGGAUGGAAAUCGGAUGAAGAGUGCAUAGGCAUAAGGAGGCUUUACUGUGAGGGAGACAUCCUGAGCAGUUGCGAAAGCAGGUCUAAGUGAUCCUUUGGCAGAUAGUGGUAUCGCCAGUGAUUAACGAAGAUAAGCUACCCCGGGGAUAACAGGCUAGUCGCGGCCGAAAGUUCACAUUGACGCCGCGGUUCGGCACCUCGAUGUCGGCUCGUCACUUCCUGGGGGUGGAUAAUCCCCCAAGGGUUGGACUGUUCGCCCAUUAAAGUGGCACGUGAGCUGGGUUCAGACCGGCGUGAGCCAGGUCGGUCUCUAUCCUGUACGGGCGUUGUAUACUUGAAGGGAUUGGCCCCUAGUACGAAAGGAUCGGGGCGAGGCAGACCUCUAGUGUACCAGUUGUUCUACCAAGGGCAUUGCUGGGUAGCUAAGUCGCUAUUUGGAUAAGCACUGAAAGCAUAUAAGUGCGAAGCCAGCCCUAAGAUUAAGUAUACUUCUCUCCUUUAAGGAGAGGUAAGAUCCCCAGUAGACUACUGGGUUGAUAGGUCUCAGGUGUAAGUCCAGCAAUGGAUUUAGCCAAGAGAUACUAAUAGAUCAAAAGCUUAUUGA
rnacentral:rRNA from 1 species